AACGCAAAUUUAACAGGCAGACAACAACAUAGGAAAGAAUCACCAUAUAGGUUGGACUCUUUACAGACGUCCUUGGCCGUUGACCAUGGUGGUACAGUUGUCCAAGUUCUACAAGUUUGUCUGAAGAAUGAAGUUAUUGGUCUUGGGUGCAGCUUUCCAUCUGUUCGAUUUAUUCGGCUAAGAGUUUACCAUUGUGUGCUCGUAUGGGGAAGGGUGCAAGGAUCAGUAAUACAGUC
rnacentral:snoRNA from 2 species